AUAAUGCAGUCGAGCGGACAGAUGGGAGCUUGCUCCCUGAUGUUAGCGGCGGACGGGUGAGUAACACGUGGGUAACCUGCCUGUAAGACUGGGAUAACUCCGGGAAACCGGGGCUAAUACCGGAUGCUUGAUUGAACCGCAUGGUUCAAUUAUAAAAGGUGGCUUCUACUUCCCCUUUCCGAAGGACCCCCCGCCCCUUUACUUAUUUGGGAAGGAACCGCUCCCCCAGGGCACCAAGCCUAACCCAACUGGAAAGGUGAUCCGCCCCCCUGGGACUGAAAACCCGGCCCAAAUCCUAACGGAAGGCACCAUAAGGAAUCCUCCCCCAUGGAACAAAGUCCGAACGAACCACCCCCCCUGGAUGAAGGAAGGUUUCCGAACCUAAAACUCCGGUGGUAAGGAAAAACCAAUACCGGUCCAAUUAGGGGGGACCCUGGCCGGACCUUACCCAAAAGCCACGGGCAACUACCUGCCAACCACCGGCGUAAUUCGUAGGUGGCAAGCCUUGGUCCGAAUUUUUGGCCGUAAGGCGGCGCCGGGCGGUUCCUUAGUCUGAGGGAAGCCCCCGCUCAACGGGGAGGG
rnacentral:rRNA from 1 species